rnacentral:rRNA from 1 species
CCUACGGGAGGCAGCAGUCGAGAAUCAUUCACAAUGGGGGAAACCCUGAUGGUGCGACGCCGCGUGGGGGAAUGAAGGUCUUCGGAUUGUAAACCCCUGUCAUGUGGGAGCAAAUUAAAAAGAUAGUACCACAAGAGGAAGAGACGGCUAACUCUGUGCCAGCAGCCGCGGUAAUACAGAGGUCUCAAGCGUUGUUCGGAAUCACUGGGCGUAAAGCGUGCGUAGGCUGUUUCGUAAGUCGUGUGUGAAAGGCGCGGGCUCAAGCCGCGGACGGCACAUGAUACUGCGAGACUAGAGUAAGGGAGGGGGAACCGGAAUUCUCGGUGUAGCAGUGAAAUGCGUAGAUAUCGAGAGGAACACUCGUGGCGAAGGCGGGUUCCUGGACAUUAACUGACGCUGAGGCACGAAGGCCAGGGGAGCGAAAGGGAUUAGAUACCCGGGUAGUC